UGGGGAAUAUUGCGCAAUGGGCGAAAGCCUGACGCAGCGACGCCGCGUGAGGGAUGAAGGUUUUCGGAUCGUAAACCUCUGUCAGAAGGGAAGAAACCGCACUGUGCUAAUCAGCAGUGCCUUGACGGUACCUUCAAAGGAAGCACCGGCUAACUCCGUGCCAGCAGCCGCGGUAAUACGGAGGGUGCAAGCGUUAAUCGGAAUUACUGGGCGUAAAGCGCACGUAGGCUGCUUUGUAAGUCAGGGGUGAAAUCCCACGGCUCAACCGUGGAACUGCCUUUGAUACUGCUUAGCUUGAAUCCGGGAGAGGGUGGCGGAAUUCCAGGUGUAGGAGUGAAAUCCGUAGAUAUCUGGAGGAACAUCAGUGGCGAAGGCGACCACCUGGACCGGUAUUGACGCUGAGGUGCGAAAGCGUAGGGAGCAAACAGG
rnacentral:rRNA from 1 species